rnacentral:rRNA from 1 species
GAUGAACGCUAGCGGCAGGCCUAAUACAUGCAAGUCGAGGGGUAUAAGAGAGCUUGCUUUCUUAGAGACCGGCGAAUGGGUGCGUAACGCGUGAGCAACCUACCCUUGUCUGGGGGAUAGCCCGGAGAAAUCCGGAUUAAUACCGCAUAACGUCGGAGAGCGGCAUUGCUUUCCGACCAAACAUUUAUGGGACAUGGAUGGGCUCGCGUGACAUUAGUUAGUUGGUAAGGUAACGGCUUACCAAGACCGCGAUGUCUAGGGGAUCUGAGAGGAUGACCCCCCACACUGGUACUGAGACACGGACCAGACUCCUACGGGAGGCAGCAGUAAGGAAUAUUGGUCAAUGAGCGGAAGCUUGAACCAGCCAUGCCGCGUGCAGGAAGACUGCCCUAUGGGUUGUAAACUGCUUUUAUACGGGAAUAAACCCGGUUACGUGUAACCGGCUGAAUGUACUGUAAGAAUAAGGAUCGGCUAACUCCGUGCCAGCAGCCGCGGUAAAAGUC